ensembl:lncRNA
AGCUGCCUGGCUGUAUCGAUAACGAACUCAAUCGGUCCGCACCCUCAUAGUUGACACAGCCUCGACACACUGGCUCCGUGAAGUCCCAAAUCAUGGCCCAGGGCAUGCGGGGCAGGUCGCACACGCCGAGGACAUGGUGCCGGCCCGGGGGACGGAGGGUGAGGGGAGGGGGGGAAGGGCCAGAUUGGUCCCUACCCGCCCAGGCUGCUGUUGCUCUUUCUCCUCCGGGGAGGGCUGGCGGGCGGGGGAAGGAGUACAGGAGGAAGGGGGGAGAAGAUUCUGUCUCCUGCCACUCGCUGCCGCUGCGCCUCUUGGUGGUUGCUCCACCACCUGGGUGGCAGAGUAGCUUGCCUCCUUGCCCCCGCCUCCUAUUGCAGUUUUCUGGCAGGGGAGGGGAAAUCGGUCGACUUCUUCCUGGUGCUGUUGCCCCUGGGACAGGGGUGCUGGGAACGGGGUGGGGGUAGGGGAAGAACGUAGUGCCCCGCUGUUACUGUCACUGCUGCUUUUCCUCUCUAGGAUUUCUGUCCUCUUCCCUGGGCAGGGGGCAGAGAGGUGUUAAGGGCUACCGUACUCUACCCUCAGCUUGUCUCCGAUCUCGCUUGCUGCCGCUGCUUCUCCGGAGGGAAGAGGAACAGGAGGGACGGGAAGAGUAUGAGGAAGGGAAGAGAGAGGGCAACAGGAGAAAGGUACACGGAGAGCCACUGGCAGCCGUCCUGGCCCUCCUGCAGCACUGGAUGUUCCGCCUGGUGGCUGUAAGAUUUUGCACACGCUGAGCCGCCGCCGCUGCUUCCCGGACGCACACCAGAUGAAAGGAGUAGCCAGGGGUUCAGCAGACCCCGGCCCUGUUCCCGGCUGCCGCGGCUGCCGCAGCUCACGUAGGGUGCAUGGCUCUCCGUCGGUUCUGCCUCUGUCACAUCCCGUUCGGAAUUGGAAUGUGGGAAUUGUGAUUGUUACUCUACGUUCCAGAGGCGCGUCUCGCGCUCCCGCUCGGGCUGCAGCUCGCGCUGUCCCCGGCUCAGCCGCGCGGGAUGCCGCCCGGGCGGAGCGGUGACGUCACCGCCAUGCUCUGCACCAGUCCCCCUCCCCUUUACACUUCCUCUGUCUGUAGAGCCCACUUGUUGCAUAGAGAAUGCGCAUGCUCGGCACACAGCCCAGAUUCCUCCCAGCCUUUCCCCUCCUCCCGCUUCUCCCCGCCCUCCCCGGACUCUGUGUGUACAACAGCUGAAGCAAUGCAAGUUAAUGCUAGAAAUCAAGUGAAGAAAUACCCAGGGCUAUGUUUGGAAAUUAAACAGAAGAUGAUCUUUCUCUCCCCUCCCUUCCCAAGCCGAUGCCCAGCUUUCCAAUGUGAAAAUGCAUUCAGGAAACAUGGAUCAUUUCCCCCCCUGUGAGUUCAAAUGUCUCAUUUCAGAAUUUUAGCUGUAAAUUUCAUAAGAGACAUUACCCAUCACAUUUAGAGUUUUCUAACAGGGAUCAAGCCAUUUUCCGUGCGGGUAUUUUAUAUCAUUUUCCACUGUUAAUGCCACAAUGCACAGCACCAACAAAAUUAGCUCUUUAGCAAUCUCAUCCUGUUUUUCCUAUUUAUUGGUUUCCAUUCUUGAUCGAGGGACCAUAGGAAUUGGAGUUUCAGUGAAUGAUGGUGCUGGAGACAGACUGAGCUAUCCCAUUUUUCAUUUCUGGCACAUAGUGGCCCAGCAGAUGCUAAGUUGUGAAACCAGGGGCUGUAUAACCUGGGCUCUUAGUAUGCUGAAGGGUGCUGGAGAGGCCAAACAGGUGAGUAAUUUAUGUGUUUGCUAAUGGAAAGGGAAACAGGAUUCCCUCUGUUUAAUAACAAUAAUACAUUGCAUUUUUAGAACUUGAGCUCAUUUGCUAGUGCUGUGAGAAAGGCAAAACAAGGCCAUUCUGCCUCCUUUUUUAGAAUGCCCUUUGCUCAGGACAUUUACCUUACAGCAGAACAAACACUGCUCAAAUCAGCCCGAGUUAGUGUAUUUAAAAGGUUACUGCCAAAUCAUGGGGGGAGAGAAGGACCCUUCUCCUGAAAACCCACCAUGGAAACAAACAAGAAAAUACUCUUUUUUUUUUGGUAGAGAUUCUUUAGGACAUAUGGCAAUCUCAUCAUGCCCUCCCCCCACAUGCCACUCUCAGUAAUACCUUCUCACAGUCUCAGUCUUAUUGCACCACCCUGGGGCUUCAGCUCCUACGGGAAAGAUUUUAUAAGGGAAGGAGCAGUAGGAGGAAAGAUGGCUCUGGGGACCCCUGCCUUUUAUUCCCUCUGCAGUCAGUUUCUGCUUUUUGCAGAACUGUUUUUGCAAAACAAUGAAAUUGCUGUCCACUCCCCAACAAUAAUAAACUUUCACUGCCAGGCUUGCCUGGAUCA